rnacentral:rRNA from 1 species
GACGAACGCUGGCGGCGUGCCUAAUACAUGCAAGUCGAGCGAAGUUUUUCUGGUGCUUGCACUAGAAAAACUUAGCGGCGAACGGGUGAGUAACACGUAAAGAACCUGCCUCAUAGACUGGGACAACUAUUGGAAACGAUAGCUAAUACCGGAUAACAGUAUUUCUCGCAUGAGAGAUAUUUAAAAGUUGGUUAUGCUAACACUAUGAGAUGCUUUGCGGUGCAUUAGCUAGUUGGUGGGGUAAAGGCCCACCAAGGCGACGAUGCAUAGCCGACCUGAGAGGGUGAUCGGCCACACUGGGACUGAGACACGGCCCAGACUCCUACGGGAGGCAGCAGUAGGGAAUCUUCCGCAAUGGGCGAAAGCCUGACGGAGCAACGCCGCGUGAGUGAAGAAGGAUUUCGGUUCGUAAAGCUCUGUUGUUAGGGAAGAAUGGAUAUGUAGUAACUAUACAUGUAAGAGACGGUACCUAACCAGAAAGCCACGGCUAACUACGUG